rnacentral:rRNA from 1 species
UCAGAACGAACGCUGGCGGCAGGCCUAACACAUGCAAGUCGAGCGAAGACUUCGGUCUUAGCGGCGGACGGGUGAGUAACGCGUGGGAACGUGCCCUUCACUACGGAAUAGUCCCGGGAAACUGGGUUUAGUACCGUAUACGCCCUUCGGGGGAAAGAAUUUCGGUGAAGGAUCGGCCCGCGUCUGAUUAGGUAGUUGGUGGGGUAAUGGCCUACCAAGCCUACGAUCAGUAGCUGGUUUGAGAGGAUGAUCAGCCACACUGGGACUGAGACACGGCCCAGACUCCUACGGGAGGCAGCAGUGGGGAAUCUUAGACAAUGGGGGAAACCCUGAUCUAGCCAUGCCGCGUGAGUGACGAAGGCCCUAGGGUCGUAAAGCUCUUUCACCCGUGAAGAUAAUGACGGUAGCGGGAGAAGAAACCCCGGCUAACUCCGUGCCAGCAGCCGCGGUAAUACGGAGGGGGUUAGCGUUGUUCGGAAUUACUGGGCGUAAAGCGCGCGUAGGCGGGCUGUUAAGUCGGGGGUGAAAUCCCGGGGCUCAACCCCGGAACUGCCUCCGAUACUGGCAGCCUAGAGUUCGAGAGAGGUGAGUGGAACUCCGAGUGUAGAGGUGAAAUUCGUAGAUAUUCGGAAGAACACCAGUGGCGAAGGCGGCUCACUGGCUCGAUACUGACGCUGAGGUGCGAAAGUGUGGGGAGCAAACAGGAUUAGAUACCCUGGUAGUCCA